GUAGGGUAAAGGCCUACCAAGGCGACGAUCUAUAGCUGGUCUGAGAGGACGAUCAGCCACACUGGGACUGAGACACGGCCCAGACUCCUACGGGAGGCAGCAGUGGGGAAUAUUGGACAAUGGGCGCAAGCCUGAUCCAGCAAUACCGCGUGUGUGAAGAAGGCCCUAGGGUUGUAAAGCACUUUCAAUAGGGAGGAAAACCUGCCGGUCAAUACCCGGUAGCUUGACAUUACCUAUAGAAGAAGCACCGGCUAACUCCGUGCCAGCAGCCGCGGUAAUACGGAGGGUGCGAGCGUUAAUCGGAAUUACUGGGCGUAAAGCGUGCGUAGGCGGCUCGUUAAGUCAGAUGUGAAAGCCCCGGGCUCAACCUGGGAACUGCAUUUGAAACUGGCGAGCUCGAGUUGAGUAGAGGUAAGUGGAAUUUCAGGUGUAGCGGUGAAAUGCGUAGAUAUCUGAAGGAACACCAGUGGCGAAGGCGACUUACUGGACUCAAACUGACGCUGAGGUACGAAAGCGUGGGUAGCAAACAGGAUUAGAUACCCUGGUAGUCCACGCUGUAAACGAUGUCAACUAGCCGUUGGUCCUAUUUACAGGAUUAGUGGCGCAGCUAACGCAUUAAGUUGACCGCCUGGGGAGUACGGCCGCAAGGCUAAAACUCAAAUGAAUUGACGG
rnacentral:rRNA from 1 species